rnacentral:misc_RNA from 1 species
AGUCGUAACAAGGUCUCCGUUGGUGAACCAGCGGAGGGAUCAUUACCGAGUUUACAACUCCCAAACCCCUGUGAACAUACCAAUUGUUGCCUCGGCGGAUCAGCCCGCUCCCGGUAAAACGGGACGGCCCGCCAGAGGACCCCUAAACUCUGUUUCUAUAUGUAACUUCUGAGUAAAACCAUAAAUAAAUCAAAACUUUCAACAACGGAUCUCUUGGUUCUGGCAUCGAUGAAGAACGCAGCAAAAUGCGAUAAGUAAUGUGAAUUGCAGAAUUCAGUGAAUCAUCGAAUCUUUGAACGCACAUUGCGCCCGCCAGUAUUCUGGCGGGCAUGCCUGUUCGAGCGUCAUUUCAACCCUCAAGCCCUCGGGUUUGGUGUUGGGGAUCGGCGAGCCCUUGCGGCAAGCCGGCCCCGAAAUCUAGUGGCGGUCUCGCUGCAGCUUCCAUUGCGUAGUAGUAAAACCCUCGCAACUGGUACGCGGCGCGGCCAAGCCGUUAAACCCCCAACUUCUGAAUGUUGACCUCGGAUCAGGUAGGAAUACCCGCUGAACCUAAGCAUAUCA